CCUACGGGAGGCAGCAGUGAGGAAUAUUGGUCAAUGGGCGUAAGCCUGAACCAGCCAAGUCGCGUGAGGGAUGAAGGUUCUAUGGAUCGUAAACCUCUUUUAUAAGGGAAUAAAGUGUGGGACGUGUCCUGUUUUGUAUGUACCUUAUGAAUAAGGAUCGGCUAACUCCGUGCCAGCAGCCGCGGUAAUACGGAGGAUCCGAGCGUUAUCCGGAUUUAUUGGGUUUAAAGGGUGCGUAGGCGGCCUUUUAAGUCAGCGGUGAAAGUCUGUGGCUCAACCAUAGAAUUGCCUUUGAAACUGGGAGGCUUGAGUAUGUUUGAGGCAGGCGGAAUGCGAGGUGUAGCGGUGAAAUGCUUAGAUAUCACGCGGAACCCCGAUGGCGAAGGCAGCCUGCCAAGCCAUGACUGACGCUGAUGCGCGAAAGCGUGGGGAUCAAACAGGAUUAGAUACCCGUGUAGUC
rnacentral:rRNA from 1 species